rnacentral:lncRNA from 1 species
UGGCUUUAUUGUGACAUCAUCUUGAGUGUACAGUGUUACCACAUGAUGUCACUUUGUUACCCUUCAUCACUUCGUUAAGGUGGAAGCUGACUAAUUUUUCCUUUACAUGGGAAAUCUCUGGGAAGUAAGACCAGCCCUUACUUAAAGGGAGUGGGGACUAAGUCCCACCUAUCGGAGGGGGUAGUAUGCAUGAUUAGUUCUAUAGAGAAUAUUUGUUUUCUCCCCAUUUAUUUGUUCAGUCAUUUACGUAUAUUCAUAUGGACUCUUUAUCCAAUGCUGUAUUAUUUAUUUGUCAUCCAAAUGAUUCCAACUUUGACUAAUGGGGAGCUCUUUCAGAUUGGCCCCUAUAUCCCUUUGAUAACCCUCAUCCCUUUUUUUUUUGAGAAUUUCCUUUUAAUAUUUGUGCACUGUACCAAGCUCAUCUACGUUUCCUUGCCCUACCCCUAGAAUGAGCCAUUUCUCCAAGGAGCCCUGAUGCCUCUCAGAACAGAGUGCUCCGCCGCCCGCCCCCCCCAGUACUGAGGAUCAAAUUCAAGACCUUGCACUUGCCAGAGGAACAGAGUUCUUAAACAGAAUAAAAGACUGGGCUACAUGUCUACUACCUGGAAUGUGAAUGUGACAUCUGUCAUUCUGCUGCCAUUUUGGGCCAUGAGGAUGAGCGAAGUGGACAAACACCAUAAUGAUGGCAGACCAGUGAGCUAGGUGGAGCCUGUAUUCCUGCAGACUUCAUGAGCAAAGCCACCAUACCUGUCCUCAGCCACCCACUCCUGUCCUUUACCUGAGAGAG